UACGUAGGGUCCGAGCGUUGUCCGGAGUUACUGGGCGUAAAGCGCGCGCAGGCGGAUUGAUAAGUCAGGGGUGAAAUCCCGGAGCUCAACUUCGGAAUUGCCUUUGAUACUGUCUGUCUUGAGUCCGGGAGAGGUGAGUGGAAUUCCGUAGUGUAGAGGUGAAAUUCGUAGAUAUUAGGAAGAACACCAGUGGCGAAGGCGGCUCACUGGCCCGGUACUGACGCUCAUGUGCGAAAGCGUGGGGAGC
rnacentral:rRNA from 1 species